rnacentral:lncRNA from 1 species
AAAAAUCUGGAAGGAUUAGAGAGAUAAGAAUCUGAAAACACAAAUGGCUGCAAAUCUAUCGUUUCCUUGGAUUUUCUUAGUGAUUUUCCAGCUUUCUGUUGAUUCACUAAUAUAGUUUUGAGUGGUCUUCAAUCUUUCAGUCCCAAAAUGCCACAAGAACACUAUUUUUCUUUGAUGCCAGUUUUAUAUUAGCUUUCUACAUUCAAACACACAAAAUAAAAAAAAUAUGUAUUCAGAAUAAGAAAAACCAAAAAAAAUGGUCAAACUCAAAAACAAACACUGCUUCAUUUGAUUUUCUGUCUGAAUUUUAGUUUAGGUAACUAAAUCACAUUCCGGAAAUUCAUUUUGGCUUUUUGAAGAUCAAGGGAAAUUUCUGUUGGGUUUCUAGUAAUCUGGGUUUCAUUUGAUCUGUCCUGGUCCAUCCUAUUGGGUUUUGUGAUUGCUAAAGUUGUCUCUGAGGUGCAUUGUGGUGAUUGUUUUGUGGUCAUUAUUGUUGUUGGUUUUCCUACGAUUUCCUGGAUUUAUAAACUAUUUCUGGGCUGAUGAAGUUGAGGUUGGUUGUGGUUCAUCGCUGCUUGUUGUUGUUGUUGUUUGUGCACUGCUACCUACUGUUGAUUUUUCCCCUUCUUUGUUCUUCAAUUUCCAGGUACACCCUUUUGUAACUUUGUUGGUCAUGAAGCUCGAAGUUGAAAGCAUGAACUGAUAUGAAGAUUUGAUCUGCUCUACGAUAUAUUUGUACAACAUUACUCAAUAUUAUCAUGUUGGCUGUUAAAAAUAAUUUGAAUUCCUAGCCUGCUCUGUAAUUUUGUUCAUGUGAAUUAAGUUCCUCAAGUGUUAUUUUCUUGCAAGAAUAGCUCAUUGCUGUAGUUUUGUCUCGUUCAAAUGAUGGUUCAUGUGUAAGGUGACCUCAAAGUUGGUGAACUUGUGAAUAUGGCCACUUGCUGUUUAAAGCUCAAGUUCUUUUUAAUUGGUUUGAAGAUGGAAUUGGCCAUUACAUGGCCUGGGUAAUUGAUAACAGCUAUUGGUUUAAUCAAAGAGAUUCUGUUGAGGACCUUAGCAUGUGAAAUUUUGUUUUUUCUUGGUCACAAUUAAAACGAAUCCGUGUAGUAGCGGGGAAUAUGAAUCAUGACUACUAUCAUAUUGUCCUUGAUUUUGAGAAACUGCAAAUCCAACUGUCGGUCGG